ACAUGCCUACAACAUAGUGUUAAUGCAUCAGAUCCCAUUAUAACUCUGCAGUUAAGUACACUCAAGCUAGAGUAGUUGCUAGGAUGGGUGAUCACCUGUGAAUUCCUAGUGUUACAUGCC
rnacentral:rRNA from 1 species